rnacentral:rRNA from 1 species
AGAUUGAACGCUGGCGGCAUGCCUAACACAUGCAAGUCGAACGGGAGUAGCAAUACUCUAGUGGCGGACGGGUGAGGAAUACGUAGGAAUUUGCCCUUAAGUGGGGGAUAACCCGGGGAAACCCGGAUUAAUACCGCAUGACCUCGAAAGAGCAAAGUGGGGGAUCGCAAGACCUCACGCUUUUGGAGAAGCCUACGUCGGAUUAGCUAGUUGGUGAGGUAAUGGCUCACCAAGGCGACGAUCCGUAACUGGUCUGAGAGGAUGAUCAGUCACACCGGAACUGAGACACGGUCCGGACUCCUACGGGAGGCAGCAGUGGGGAAUAUUGGACAAUGGGCGCAAGCCUGAUCCAGCAAUGCCGCGUGUGUGAAGAAGGCCUUCGGUUGUAAAGCGACCUUAAAGUUAGGUAAGAAAAAACUACGACUCUAACUACAAGUGAGUCUUGACGGUACGACAGAAUAAGCAACCGCUAACUCUGUGCCAGCAGCCGC